rnacentral:rRNA from 1 species
GAUGAACGCUGGCGGCGUGCUUAACACAUGCAAGUCGAACGGAAAGGCUCCUGCUUGCAGGGGUACUCGAGUGGCGAACGGGUGAGUAACACGUGGGUGAUCUGCCCUGCACUUCGGGAUAAGCCUGGGAAACUGGGUCUAAUACCGGAUAGGACGAUGGUUUGGAUGCCAUUGUGGAAAGUUUUUCGGUGUGGGAUGAGCUCGCGGCCUAUCAGCUUGUUGGUGAGGUAAUGGCCUACCAAGGCGUCGACGGGUAGCCGGCCUGAGAGGGUGUACGGCCACAUUGGGACUGAGAUACGGCCCAGACUCCUACGGGAGGCAGCAGUGGGGAAUAUUGCACAAUGGGCGCAAGCCUGAUGCAGCGACGCCGCGUGGGGGAUGACGGCCUUCGGGUUGUAAACUCCUUUCGCUAGGGACGAAGCGCAAGUGACGGUACCUGGAGAAGAAGCACCGGCUAACUACGUG